rnacentral:rRNA from 1 species
GGUUAAGCGACUAAGCGUACACGGUGGAUGCCCUGGCAGUCAGAGGCGAUGAAGGACGUGCUAAUCUGCGAAAAGCGUCGGUAAGGUGAUAUGAACCGUUACAGCCGGCGAUGUCCGAAUGGGGAAACCCAGUGCAAUUCGUUGCACUAUCGUUAACUGAAUACAUAGGUUAACGAGGCGAACCGGGGGAACUGAAACAUCUAAGUACCCCGAGGAAAAGAAAUCAACCGAGAUUCCCCCAGUAGCGGCGAGCGAACGGGGAGCAGCCCAGAGUCUGAAUCAGCUUGUGUGUUAGUGGAACGGUCUGGAAAGUCCGACGGUACAGGGUGAUAGUCCCGUACACCAAAAUGCACAGGCUGUGAACUCGAAGAGUAGGGCGGGACACGUGGUAUCCUGUCUGAAUAUGGGGGGACCAUCCUCCAAGGCUAAAUACUCCUGACUGACCGAUAGUGAACCAGUACCGUGAGGGAAAGGCGAAAAGAACCCCGGCGAGGGGAGUGAAAAAGAACCUGAAACCGUGUACGUACAAGCAGUGGGAGCACCUUCGGGUGUGACUGCGUACCUUUUGUAUAAUGGGUCAGCGACUUAUAUUCUGUAGCAAGGUUAACCGUAUAGGGGAGCCGCAGGGAAACCGAGUCUUAACUGGGCGUUAAGUUGCAGGGUAUAGACCCGAAACCCGGUGAUCUAGCCAUGGGCAGGUUGAAGGUUGGGUAACACUAACUGGAGGACCGAACCGACUAAUGUUGAAAAAUUAGCGGAUGACUUGUGGCUGGGGGUGAAAGGCCAAUCAAACCGGGAGAUAGCUGGUUCUCCCCGAAAGCUAUUUAGGUAGCGCCUCGUGAAUUCAUCUUCGGGGGUAGAGCACUGUUUCGGCUAGGGGGUCAUCCCGACUUACCAACCCGAUGCAAACUACGAAUACCGAAGAAUGUUAUCACGGGAGACACACGGCGGGUGCUAACGUCCGUCGUGAAGAGGGAAACAACCCAGACCGCCAGCUAAGGUCCCAAAGUCAUGGUUAAGUGGGAAACGAUGUGGGAAGGCACAGACAGCCAGGAUGUUGGCUUAGAAGCAGCCAUCAUUUAAAGAAAGCGUAAUAGCUCACUGGUCGAGUCGGCCUGCGCGGAAGAUGUAACGGGGCUAAACCAUGCACCGAAGCUGCGGCAGCGACACUAUGUGUUGUUGGGUAGGGGAGCGUUCUGUAAGCCUGCGAAGGUGACCUGUGAGGGUUGCUGGAGGUAUCAGAAGUGCGAAUGCUGACAUAAGUAACGAUAAAGCGGGUGAAAAGCCCGCUCGCCGGAAGACCAAGGGUUCCUGUCCAACGUUAAUCGGGGCAGGGUGAGUCGACCCCUAAGGCGAGGCCGAAAGGCGUAGUCGAUGGGAAACAGGUUAAUAUUCCUGUACUUGGUGUUACUGCGAAGGGGGGACGGAGAAGGCUAUGUUAGCCGGGCGACGGUUGUCCCGGUUUAAGCAUGUAGGCUGGUUAUCCAGGCAAAUCCGGAUAAUCAAGGCUGAGGUGUGAUGACGAGGCACUACGGUGCUGAAGUAACAAAUGCCCUGCUUCCAGGAAAAGCCUCUAAGCAUCAGGUAACAUUAAAUCGUACCCCAAACCGACACAGGUGGUCAGGUAGAGAAUACCAAGGCGCUUGAGAGAACUCGGGUGAAGGAACUAGGCAAAAUGGUGCCGUAACUUCGGGAGAAGGCACGCUGGUGUGUAGGUGAAGUCCCUGCGGAUGGAGCUGAGACCAGUCGAAGAUACCAGCUGGCUGCAACUGUUUAUUAAAAACACAGCACUGUGCAAACACGAAAGUGGACGUAUACGGUGUGACGCCUGCCCGGUGCCGGAAGGUUAAUUGAUGGGGUUAUCCGUAAGGAGAAGCUCUUGAUCGAAGCCCCGGUAAACGGCGGCCGUAACUAUAACGGUCCUAAGGUAGCGAAAUUCCUUGUCGGGUAAGUUCCGACCUGCACGAAUGGCGUAAUGAUGGCCAGGCUGUCUCCACCCGAGACUCAGUGAAAUUGAACUCGCUGUGAAGAUGCAGUGUACCCGCGGCAAGACGGAAAGACCCCGUGAACCUUUACUAUAGCUUGACACUGAACAUUGAGCCUUGAUGUGUAGGAUAGGUGGGAGGCUUUGAAGCGUGGACGCCAGUCUGCGUGGAGCCAACCUUGAAAUACCACCCUUUAAUGUUUGAUGUUCUAACGUUGGCCCCUUACCGGGGUUGCGGACAGUGUCUGGUGGGUAGUUUGACUGGGGCGGUCUCCUCCCAAAGCGUAACGGAGGAGCACGAAGGUUAGCUAAUCCUGGUCGGACAUCAGGAGGUUAGUGCAAUGGCAUAAGCUAGCUUGACUGCGAGCGUGACGGCGCGAGCAGGUGCGAAAGCAGGUCAUAGUGAUCCGGUGGUUCUGAAUGGAAGGGCCAUCGCUCAACGGAUAAAAGGUACUCCGGGGAUAACAGGCUGAUACCGCCCAAGAGUUCAUAUCGACGGCGGUGUUUGGCACCUCGAUGUCGGCUCAUCACAUCCUGGGGCUGAAGUAGGUCCCAAGGGUAUGGCUGUUCGCCAUUUAAAGUGGUACGCGAGCUGGGUUUAGAACGUCGUGAGACAGUUCGGUCCCUAUCUGCCGUGGGCGCUGGAGAAUUGAGGGGGGCUGCUCCUAGUACGAGAGGACCGGAGUGGACGCAUCACUGGUGUUCGGGUUGUCAUGCCAAUGGCACUGCCCGGUAGCUAAAUGCGGAAGAGAUAAGUGCUGAAAGCAUCUAAGCACGAAACUUGCCCCGAGAUGAGUUCUCCCUGAGACUUUAAGUCUCCUGAAGGAACGUUAAAGACGAUGACGUUGAUAGGCCGGGUGUGUAAGCGCAGCGAUGCGUUGAGCUAACCGGUACUAAUGAACCGUGAGGCUUAACCUU